rnacentral:rRNA from 1 species
AGAGUUUUGAUCCUGGCUCAGAGCGAACGCUGGCGGAAUGCUUAACACAUGCAAGUCGCACGGGGGCUUCGGCUCGAGUGGCGGACGGGUGAGUAACGCGUAGGAACGUGUCUUGGGUGGGGGAUAACGCUGGGAAACUGGCGCUAAUACCGCAUAUGGGCUGAGGCCCAAAGCCUUCGGGUGCCUUGAGAGCGGCCUGCGUCCGAUUAGCUAGUUGGUGGGGUAAAGGCUUACCAAGGCGUCGAUCGGUAGCUGGUCUGAGAGGACGAUCAGCCACACUGGGACUGAGACACGGCCCAGACUCCUACGGGAGGCAGCAGUGGGGAAUAUUGGACAAUGGGCGGAAGCCUGAUCCAGCAAUUCCGCGUGGGUGAAGAAGGUCUUCGGAUUGUAAAGCCCUUUCGACAGGGACGAUGAUGACGGUACCUGUAGAAGAAGCCCCGGCUAACUUCGUG